rnacentral:lncRNA from 1 species
GCGGCUGGAGCACCAGGGCAUCAAGAUCGAGUUCAUCGGGCAGAUCGAACUCUACUACGAUCGCGGGAACCACCAUGAGUUUGUGUCCCUGGUGAAGGACCUGGCCCGGCCUGGAGAGAUCACCCAGUCGCAGGCCUUCGACUUUGAGUUUACCCACGUGGAGAAGCCGUAUGAGUCCUACACAGGGCAGAAUGUGAAGCUACGCUAUUUCCUUCGUGCUACCAUCAGCCGCCGCCUCAAUGAUGUUGUCAAAGAGAUGGACAUUGUAGUUCACACACUCAGCACAUACCCAGAGCUGAACUCUUCCAUCAAGAUGGAGGUUGGGAUUGAGGACUGUCUGCACAUUGAAUUUGAGUACAAUAAAUCCAACUUCAGCUGUUUCCCGCUACUGCUAAGAACAAUCUCAGAAUACCAUUCCAUUAUCAUGUGCUCCCUCCAUCUGUGUCUUCAGAAAUCAAAGCGACGAAACCAAAUAUUGGCCAUGAUUUGCUGCUUCCUCC